CGGGGUGAAAGGUUGAGAGAAAGAACUGAGUCCAGUUCAGACCGAGGAGCCUGUGACACAGUCAACACCAAUGCCAAGGAGCCAGUGGAUACAGGGGUUGAGGUUGCAGACAUAAACACAGGAUUCAUCAGCAUAUGUGUGGUUUCUGAACCUAUGGGACAGGAUGGCAUCACUCAGGGAAAGAGCACAGAGUCAGAAGAAAAUAUGACCCAAGACCAGGCCUUGAAGAACUCCGAUAUUUAAUGUUUGGGUAGAAGAAAAGGCAAACGAAAGUAUCUGAAAAGAUGGGCCAGAGAAGAGAGAAUCAACCAAGGGGAGAUGGUCCCAGAAGUCAAACAGAAGGGAGUGAUUCGCUGUGAUGAAUGCUGCAGAGGCCAAAUAAGAGGGUGAUGGUGGUGGUGUUCAUUUGAUUCACUUCAGUUCAAGGAACAAGAAAGCACUCAUUUCCCAGGAGAAUCACCGUGGUCUACCCCAUCUCUGAACCCAGGCGAAAGGGUUUCCUCAUUGCAAGUGAGAUACAGCCAAAGCAGUAGUAAAGCGAACACCGUUUUAUAGCUGCUAUGGAAAAAUUAUUAUAUUUUCG
rnacentral:lncRNA from 1 species